CAAAUUAAGGACAGAUUACAAGCAGCCUGGGAACCGGGCUCCGUCACCACAGGGGGCCGCCUACUCAGCCUCCUUCUGUUCAGCCAUGGGAAAGAUGCAGCUGCUAAGCCAGCCGGGUGCUGGGCUGCUCUCCCCCUGCCUCUCCUGAUCCCUCGGAGGGAGUUGAGAAGUCCCUUUCUCCAUCAGUCUCUGGAAGGUAGGAAUUUUUCUUUUAACCAUUGUAUGAGGUUGAGGAAUGGUACUUCAAAUGGGUCUUGGAGCUGGAAACUUAAAAUUCAUUGAAAACUGUGCCUUGUCAUAUAUUUGAUUUUUGUAUUUAUUUCAAUUUUCCAUAUCUCUUAAGUAUAUGGCAACA
rnacentral:lncRNA from 1 species